rnacentral:misc_RNA from 1 species
GGCUAUGAGCUCUGCAAUUCCAGUACCGGCUUCUCCAGCACCAAGGAAUAAAAACCUAUGGUCAGCUAAGGAUCCGCCAACAAACUUUAAAGCUGAAAUGAGCCCAGCAAGUACCACGGAUGCUGUCCCCUGAAUGUCAUCAUUAAAGACCAGAUGAGUUGCGCCAUAUUUUGCUAGCAAGUCAAAUGCAUUAUGGUUUGCAAAGUCUUCAAACUGA